rnacentral:rRNA from 1 species
GACGAACGCUGGCGGCGUGCUUAACACAUGCAAGUCGAACGGUAAGGCCCUUCGGGGUACACGAGUGGCGAACGGGUGAGUAACACGUGGGUAAUCUGCCCUGCACAUCGGGAUAAGCCUGGGAAACUGGGUCUAAUACCGAAUAGGACCACAGGACACAUGUCCUGUGGUGGAAAGCUUUUGCGGUGUGGGAUGGGCCCGCGGCCUAUCAGCUUGUUGGUGGGGUGAUGGCCUACCAAGGCGACGACGGGUAGCCGGCCUGAGAGGGUGUCCGGCCACACUGGGACUGAGAUACGGCCCAGACUCCUACGGGAGGCAGCAGUGGGGAAUAUUGCACAAUGGGCGAAAGCCUGAUGCAGCGACGCCGCGUGGGGGAUGACGGCCUUCGGGUUGUAAACCUCUUUCACCAGCGACGAAGGUCCGGGUUUUCUCGGGCUGACGGUAGGUGGAGAAGAAGCACCGGCCAACUACGUG